rnacentral:rRNA from 1 species
UCCCCUAGUAACUGCGAGUGAAGCGGGAAAAGCUCAAAUUUAAAAUCUGGUAGUCUUUGGCUGCCCGAGUUGUAAUCUAGAGAAGCGUUACCCGCGCUGGACCGUGUAUAAGUGUCCUGGAAUGGACUAUCAUAGAGGGUGAGAAUCCCGUCUUUGACACGGACUCCCAGGGCUUUGUGGUGCGCUCUCAAAGAGUCGAGUUGUUUGGGAAUGCAGCUCUAAAUGGGUGGUAAAUUCCAUCUAAAGCUAAAUAUUGGCGAGAGACCGAUAGCGAACAAGUACCGUGAGGGAAAGAUGAAAAGAACUUUGGAAAGAGAGUUAAACAGUACGUGAAAUUGUUGAAAGGGAAACGCUUGAAGUCAGUCGCGUUGGCUGGGAAUCAACCUUGCUUUUGCUGGGCGUACUUUCCAGUUGACGGGUCAGCAUCAGUUUUGGUCGGUGGAUAAAGGUCAGGGGAAUGUGGCACCUUCGGGUGUGUUAUAGCCCUUGGUUGUAUACACUGGCUGGGACUGAGGAACUCAGCACUUGUGCUUAGGAUGCUGGCAUAAUGGCUUUAAGCGACCCGUCUUGAAACACGGACCAAGGAGUCUAACAUGCCUGCGAGUGUUUGGGUGCAAAACCCGAGCGCGUAAUGAAAGUGAAAGUCGGGAUCCCUGUCGUG